rnacentral:tRNA from 1 species
GAAACUAUAGGUUAAGCAGAAAAAACCUUUGGCCUUCAAAGCCAAAAAUGAAUCGUUCUAGUUUCG